UUGAUUAUUGUCUCUAGUUAGAGGCAGACUUGAGCGUGUGAUCGCUUUAAAUGCAGUAGUGUAACUCUGGGCUAGUCGUCUGGACACUGUGUGUUGGAGACCUUGGUGUCUACUCACGGUGGGUCCUGCGGGGUUGUGUGUGUUGUGGUGUGUCGGAUUACAAUUCUUGCACCCAAAACACACCAUCUGGCACAGAAAGUGCACUUUUAAUAAUACAGCAC
rnacentral:misc_RNA from 1 species